rnacentral:rRNA from 1 species
UACGUAGGGGGCAAGCGUUGUCCGGAUUUAUUGGGCGUAAAGAGCUCGUAGGCGGUUCGAUAAGUCGGACGUGAAAUCUCCACGCUCAACGUGGAGGGGCCGUUCGAUACUGUCGUGACUCGAGUCCGGUAGGGGAGUGUGGAAUUCCCGGUGUAGCGGUGAAAUGCGCAGAGAUCGGGAGGAACACCCGUAGCGAAGGCGGCACUCUGGGCCGGUACUGACGCUGAGGCGCGAAAGCGUGGGGAGCGAACAGG